UAGAGUUUGAUCCUGGCUCAGGACGAACGCUGGCGGCGUGCCUAAUACAUGCAAGUCGAGCGAAUCAAUAGGAGCUUGCUCCUGUUGGUUAGCGGCGGACGGGUGAGUAACACGUGGGCAACCUGCCUGUAAGACUGGGAUAACACCGGGAAACCGGUGCUAAUACCGGAUAAUCCUUCUCCUCUCAUGAGGAAAAGCUGAAAGUCGGUUUCGGCUGACACUUACGGAUGGGCCCGCGGCGCAUUAGCUAGUUGGUGAGGUAACGGCUCACCAAGGCGACGAUGCGUAGCCGACCUGAGAGGGUGAUCGGCCACACUGGGACUGAGACACGGCCCAGACUCCUACGGGAGGCAGCAGUAGGGAAUCUUCCACAAUGGACGAAAGUCUGAUGGAGCAACGCCGCGUGAGCGAUGAAGGCCUUCGGGUCGUAAAGCUCUGUUGUUAGGGAAGAACAAGUACCGGAGUAACUGCCGGUGCCUUGACGGUACCUAACCAGAAAGCCACGGCUAACUACGUGCCAGCAGCCGCGGUAAUACGUAGGUGGCAAGCGUUGUCCGGAAUUAUUGGGCGUAAAGCGCGCGCAGGCGGUCCUUUAAGUCUGAUGUGAAAGCCCACGGCUCAACCGUGGAGGGUCAUUGGAAACUGGGGGACUUGAGUGCAGAAGAGGAAAGCGGAAUUCCACGUGUAGCGGUGAAAUGC
rnacentral:rRNA from 1 species